rnacentral:rRNA from 1 species
CACGGGGGGAGCAAGCGUUGUUCGGAAUCACUGGGCGUAAAGGGCGUGUAGGCGGUUAGGUAAGUGGAAUGUGAAAUCCCUCGGCUCACCCGAGGACCUGCAUCCCAAACUGCCUGACUUGAGUAUGGGAGAGGAUGAGGGAAUUCCUGGUGUAGCGGUGAAAUGCGUAGAUAUCAGGAGGAACACCGGUGGCGAAGGCGCUCAUCUGGCCCAAUACUGACGCUGAGGCGCGAAAGCUAGGGGAGCAAACGGG